UAGGAAUGAGGGUGAUAGUUGCACAGUUGAUUGGUUUGCACAUCCUAGUUGAUGUGAAAAAUUGUUUAAUGGCGGUGGUGACUUGAUUACCAAUGAUACUCCAACUCUUUUAAAAAAAUACAGCAUUGUUUGAAGAACUGGUUGAUGGCAGUGUUGACUUGAUUACCAAUGAUACUCCAACUCUUUUUGAAGAAGACAUCAUUGUAACCAUCAAUCCUAGGGGCUUUGUCAUCUCCAAUAGCCUUAAGACUCUCUGCUAUUUCUUUAUCUGUAACUGUUGCACAUAGUUCCUGUCUCUGUUGCUGUGUCAGCUUUGGCCCAUUCGACAUAUACAUUUGGUUUAUAGCAGGCAGAUUUCC
rnacentral:lncRNA from 1 species